rnacentral:rRNA from 1 species
CCAAUAGCGUAUAUUAAAUUUGUUGUAGUUAAAAAGCUCGUAGUAGAACUUUGGGCGUGGCCGGGCGGUCCGCUGCUUCGGCGGCGAGUACUGCCUACAGCGCCGCGCCUUUCCUCCUGGGGACACGCGGGCUGGCUGCUUUCGGGCGGCCGGCGCGCGGGCAGCCAGGACGUUUACCUUGAAAAAAUUAGAGUGUUCAAAGCAGGCGCACGCUUGCAUAGAUUAGCAUGGAAUAAUGGAAUAGGACCGGUGGUUCUGUUGCGUUGGUUUCUUGGAACCGCGGUAAUGAUGAACAGGGACAGUUGGGGGCAUUCGUAUUUCGCAGCUAGAGGUGAAAUUCUUGGAUUUGCGAAAGACGAACCUAUGCGAAAGCAUUUGCCAAGGAUGUUUUCAUUGAUCAAGAACGAAAGUUAGGGGAUCGAAGACGAUUAGAUACCGUCGUAGUCUUAACCAUAAACGAUGCCGACUAGGGAUCAGGCGAUGUUGCUUUCUGACUCGCCUGGCACCUUCAG